rnacentral:rRNA from 1 species
GACGAACGCUGGCGGCGUGCCUAAUACAUGCAAGUCGAACGAGAGCGACCGGUGCUUGCACUGGUCAAUCUAGUGGCGAACGGGUGAGUAACACGUGGGUAACCUGCCCAUCAGAGGGGGAUAACAUUCGGAAACGGAUGCUAAAACCGCAUAGGUCUUUGAACCGCAUGGUUUGAAGAGGAAAAGAGGCGCAAGCUUCUGCUGAUGGAUGGACCCGCGGUGCAUUAGCUAGUUGGUGAGGUAACGGCUCACCAAGGCCGUGAUGCAUAGCCGACCUGAGAGGGUGAUCGGCCACAUUGGGACUGAGACACGGCCCAAACUCCUACGGGAGGCAGCAGUAGGGAAUCUUCCGCAAUGGACGCAAGUCUGACGGAGCAACGCCGCGUGAGUGAAGAAGGUUUUCGGAUCGUAAAACUCUGUUGUUAGAGAAGAACAAGUGCUAGAGUAACUGUUAGCGCCUUGACGGUAUCUAACCAGAAAGCCACGGCUAACUACGUGCCAGCAGCCGCGGUAAUACGUAGGUGGCAAGCGUUGUCCGGAUUUAUUGGGCGUAAAGCGAGCGCAGGCGGUUCCUUAAGUCUGAUGUGAAAGCCCCCGGCUCAACCGGGGAGGGUCAUUGGAAACUGGGGAACUUGAGUGCAGAAGAGGAGAGUGGAAUUCCAUGUGUAGCGGUGAAAUGCGUAGAUAUAUGGAGGAACACCAGUGGCGAAGGCGACUCUCUGGUCUGUAACUGACGCUGAGGCUCGAAAGCGUGGGUAGCAAACAGG